CUUACAGUCUGAUAUGUAUUUUAAGUUUUGAUCUCCACUCCGUCUAAUGUUUCAGAGACAAUUUCAAGUGCAUACUGAUAACUGUUUAAUUAUUCUUAAUUACAUCAUAGACGUCAAGCACAUUGAGGACACAAAUUAUAAACAAGACUUUAUGAAAAGUCCUGUCAUUUCAAGAAAGUCAACAAGGUCCGUUGUUUGCUGACCCGUUGGCUGCUACCCUUGAAUCCUCCUUAUUGACUUCUUUACACAGGCCCUCCUGAUUUGAGAGUAAUCCUUCGCUACUGAUCAUGGACUUCGUCCAUUGGUGAAAACCGACGCGAGAAUGCUGUAAU